rnacentral:rRNA from 1 species
UGCGCAGGCGGUUUUUUAAGAUAGGCGUGAAAUCCCCGGGCUUAACCUGGGAACUGCGCUUAUGACUGGAAGACUAGAGUACGGCAGAGGGGGGUGGAAUUCCACGUGUAGCAGUGAAAUGCGUAGAGAUGUGGAGGAACACCGAUGGCGAAGGCAGCCCCCUGGGCCGAUACUGACGCUCAUGCACGAAAGCGUGGGGAGCAAACA